CGACCACCAGGGUGAACUGUUGCUAGCCGCAGCGUCUCUGCCCAUGAAAGCGGCCUGUCGCGAAAGCGCCAGGUGGGUGGUGUGUCCUCGUUAAAAACCGUAAGCGCUAGUCACUACCUGAUAGUGGCGACACCCUCAAAUUGCGGGGACAGCCUAAAGGCGUUGAGUACGAAACAGCGGGAAACCAGCUGGCCGGCAUUCGCCGGACGUGGAAAUCUUAACGCAUGUUACAAUGGCCAAUCCGCAGCCAAGCCCCUAAGGGUAGCCCAGCUAUCUAGGGGGAAGGUUCAGAGACUUGACGGGGGUGGUCCCUUGGAGCAACGCACGUUGGUUUUUUUUACAGUGCAAUUACAGCGUUGGGCCUCCGAGGGAUUAAGAUAAAGUCCGAGCACGGGGCGAAAGCCCCGUGAGGUUUGGUGCUCUAUCAACUAAAAAUGGGAGCCUGCGGCUUAAUUUACUCAACACGGGGAAACUCACCAGGUUGAUUCUGGGCCUGGAAUAGUGGAUUUAUUCUGCUAGUACUAACCUUUACCCACGUGGGGGAAGCUAUUGAGCCCCCGACUCGAGGCGUUGGGAGUCUGUUAUAAGGACUUGGUUAGUGCGACACCAGCUGGUACAGGGAACGCUCCUUACGGAGCCAACUCUGUGGCGAGCCCGAGUAGCGUCGGGCCGUCGCAACGCACGCUAAGCGGUGGGCCGAAAGGCUUAAGGUACGUGCUAAUCCCACGGGCAACCGUGGCCAUCCUGAAUAGUUCCGAGUUUACGAAGCAGGAUGGGGGUGGCGUAAAGCCGCCUGUAUGGCCACACGGCAAAGUGUGACCGAGUGCCAGACACAACGAGGAUUGACAGAUUGAGAGCUCUUUCUUGAUUUUGUGGGUGGUGGUGCAUGGCCGUUCUUAGUUGGUGGAGUGAUUUGUCUGCUUAAUUGCGAUAACGAACGAGACCUUAACCUGCUAAAUAGCCCGCGUCGCUUUGGCGGCGCGCAGGCUUCUUAGAGGGACUAUCGGCUCAAGCCGAUGGAAGUUUGAGGCAAUAACAGGUCUG
rnacentral:misc_RNA from 1 species